rnacentral:rRNA from 1 species
GAUGAACGCUAGCUACAGGCUUAACACAUGCAAGUCGAGGGGCAGCAGGAACUUAGCUUGCUAAGUUUGCUGGCGACCGGCGCACGGGUGAGUAACGCGUAUCCAACCUGCCCAUUACUCGGGGAUAGCCUUGCGAAAGUAAGAUUAAUACCCGAUGUUGUUUGAUUGCCGCAUGACGGUCAAACCAAAGAUUUAUUGGUAAUGGAUGGGGAUGCGUGACAUUAGGUAGUUGGUGAGGUAACGGCUCACCAAGCCCACGAUGUCUAGGGGUUCUGAGAGGAAGGUCCCCCACACUGGAACUGAGACACGGUCCAG